rnacentral:rRNA from 1 species
AGCGAACGCUGGCGGCAGGCCUAACACAUGCAAGUCGAGCGCCCAGCAAUGGGAGCGGCAGACGGGUGAGUAACGCGUGGGGAUCUACCCAUUGGUACGGAAUAACCCAGGGAAACUUGGACUAAUACCGUAUGUGCCCUUCGGGGGAAAGAUUUAUCGCCAAUGGAUGAACCCGCGUCUGAUUAGCUAGUUGGGGAGGUAAAGGCUCACCAAGGCGACGAUCAGUAGCUGGUCUGAGAGGAUGAUCAGCCACACUGGGACUGGGACACGGCCCAGACUCCUACGGGAGGCAGCAGUGGGGAAUAUUGGACAAUGGGCGCAAGCCUGAUCCAGCCAUGCCGCGUGAGUGAUGAAGGCCUUAGGGUUGUAAAGCUCUUUCGCCGGUGAAGAUAAUGACGGUAACCGGAGAAGAAGCCCCGGCUAACUUCGUGCCAGCCGCCGCAGUAACAC